rnacentral:rRNA from 1 species
GAUAACCUCGGGAAACUGGGUAUAAUACCCGAUAGGUCUCGAUUGCUGGAAUGCAUCGAGAUUUAAAGCUCCGGCGCCUAAGGAUGGGUCUGCGGCCUAUCAGGUAGUAGUGGGUGUAGCGUACCUACUAGCCUACGACGGGUACGGGUUGUGAGAGCAAGAGCCCGGAGAUGGAUUCUGAGACACGAAUCCAGGCCCUACGGGGUGCAGCAGGCGCGAAAACUUUACAAUGCUGGCAACAGCGAUAAGGGAACCUCGAGUGCCAGGUUACAAAUCUGGCUGUCGAGAUGCCUAAAAAGCAUUUCAUAGCAAGGGCCGGGCAAGACCGGUGCCAGCCGCCGCGGUAACACCGGCGGCUCGAGUGGUAACCGUUAUUAUUGGGUCUAAAGGGUCUGUAGCCGGCCGGAUAAGUCUCUUGAGAAAUCUGGCAGCUUAACUGUCAGGCUUUCAGGAGAUACUGUCUGGCUCGAGGCCGGGAGAGGUGAGAGGUACUUCAGGGGUAGGGGUGAAAUCUUGUAAUCCUUGAAGGACCACCAGUGGCGAAGGCGUCUCACCAGAACGGACCUGACGGCAAGGGACGAAAGCUAGGGGCACGAACCGGAUUAGAUACCCGGGUAGUCCUAGCCGUAAACGAUACUCGCUAGGUGUCGGCCACGGUGCGACCGUUGUCGGUGCCGUACGGAAGCCGUGAAGCGAGCCACCUGGGAAGUACGGCCGCAAGGCUGAAACUUAAAGGAAUUGGCGGGGGAGCACCACAACGGGUGGAGCUUGCGGUUUAAUUGGAUUCAACGCCGGAAAUCUUACCGGGACCGACAGCAAUAUGAACGCCACGCUGAAGACUUGCCGGAUUAGCUGAGAGGUGGUGCAU